UUUAGAGGAAGGAGAAGUCGUAACAGGGUUUCCGUAGGUGAACCUGCGGACAAGGAACUUCAACUAAAGAGUGCCUCCGGUCGCCUCGGAAACGGCGUGCGUGCCGGGGGCGAAUCUUGUGCAAAACCAUAACGACUCUCGGCAACGGAUAUCUCGGCUCUCGCAUCGAUGAAGAACGUAGCGAAAUGCGAUACUUGGUGUGAAUUGCAGAAUCCCGCGAAUCAUCGAGUCUUUGAACGCAAGUUGCGCCCGAAGCCAUCUGGUCGAGGGCACGUCUGCCUGGGUGUCACGCAUCGUUGCCCCCAACCCCAUCGCCUCUCCAAGAGACGAGGGCGGUCUGCGGGGCGGACAUUGGCCUCCCGUGAGCUUUCGCUCGCGGCUGGCCUAAAAGCGAGUCCUCGGCGACGAGCGCCACGACAAUCGGUGGUUGACAAACCCUCGUGUCCCGUCGUGCGCGGCUCGUCGCUCGUCUUGUGCUCUGUGACCCUGUAGCGUCGCGCUCGCGACUCUUCCAACGCGACCCCAGGUCAGGCGGGACUACCCGCUGAA
rnacentral:rRNA from 1 species